AAAAAACGCCCGACUCUAUCAAGAAACGUGGUGGACGGACUGCAGGACGGCCUCGGCGACCAUCCCCAGAUGGUGCAGCGCGGCGGCGGCGGAGACAGGCACGCUGCCGAGCACGAGCGCGGCGACGGCGAUGGCGACGCUGGGCCUGGUGCCCAUGAGGGCCAGUUGCAGCGCGCCGACGAUGCCGGACACGUCGGCGACGUAGGCCGGGUAGUACCGCUUCUCCCAGGCCGCCCACCCCGCGGGCGCCUCGUAGUUGGACUCCGCCAUCCGCGCCUCCCGGAUCCGCCGCCGCAGCACGGACAUGCCCUCGUCCACCAGCGCGCCGCCGUACUGGCCCCGCCCGCCGCUCGCGCUCCGCCGGAACGCCGCGCAGCGCGUCGUCGGCGCGGCCGGUGAUCUCCGCCUCGCCGGCAGCGCUGGGCCGUGGCACGCCCCGUGCCGGAGCCCCGCCGGCGUCGUCGGAAGCGAGAUGGGUGAAGCAGCCAUGGUGAAUCAGCUCAAGAACUGAUCUUUUGUAACUCAGGCAAGAAAGAAAGCACUUCACAAAUCACACUACAGAAAUGGACCAAGGGAAGAAGAGCCAAUCAAAGCUGAUGGGUCGAGAGAAGAAUCACACGAAGAUGAU
rnacentral:lncRNA from 1 species